GCGAGUGUAGUUCAAUGGUAGAACGCAACCUUGCCAAGGUUGACACGGCGGUUCAAUUCCGCUCACUCGCU
rnacentral:tRNA from 1 species